GUCUAUGGCCAUGCCACUCUGAACGCGCCCAAUCCCGUCCGAUCUCGGAAGCUAAGCAGGGUCGAGCCUGGUUAGUACUUGGAUGAGAGACCACCUAGGAAGACCAGGUGCUGUAGGUA
rnacentral:rRNA from 1 species